rnacentral:lncRNA from 1 species
UACCUCACAUUUUGUGAGACAGAAAAUAAAUAAUAUUGGAGACUGAGAGAAAAAAGAUAUUGGAGAGAAAUUUAACGAGAAGAGAAAUUAAGACAUUCAAUUUCUUCUAAAAAUCUCUUCAUUUUCUUAUUCCAACCACCGAUCAAACAUAAUGGGUGGCUAAAAAGUUAGAAGCACAAAAACUGCUGUGCUCCUAAUAGCACAGUAUCCUUGCUCUCUCUCUCUCUCUCUCUCUCUCUCUAUAUAUAUAUAUAUACUUCUCACAACUCAUAAUUUGUUAUGAAAAUAAAAUAAAUGAGAGAAAAUUAGUAACAUUAGAAGGUUUUUUUUUUGGAAAGCAAAAAAAAAUUAGAGCUUGGUGAGAUGGUGGUGGAAAAAGUUGAGAGGAAAUUAGUAAUACUAAAAAUUUUUUUUU